CAGCUUCGUCCUCCGCGUUUCUGGAAACUUGGAGCUGUGGCCGGGCGGCUGGCGAUGCGUGGCGGGCGCCGAUGGAGGGGCCUUGGGCUCCGGGGGCGCUGCUCGGCCCGGCCCGGACGGAGGAGGGAGGGGGUCGCGCUGGCCGGGCCGCGAUCGGACCCUCGCCCGCGGGUCUCAGACGCAGCCCCGGGCGCGAUCGGGUCCGCUUGCGGAUGCGGUUGGAGGCCGCGUUUGCGAAACUGGAGGUCCGCGAGCCGCGUGACGCCCUCUCCAUCCCGUGGCCGCCGCCUCCCCAUGCCCGGAGCCGGUUCCCCAGAACUCGGCAGCCCCGUGUUGUGAAACUUUCUCUGCCUUCGCUUUGCGCCCCGCGCGCCGGCUGCCCGCACUCGGGACGGCAGCCUCCUCGGAGGGCUUUGCGUGUCCUUAGGGCCACCUUCCCGUGGCGCGGUGCUCGUUAUUUGUGCCAGGGUUCGUGGUCUGCGAGGAGGCUUCCAGGAAGCGCAGCCACGAGGCCGCCUGUGCCGGGAGCGUGGACACAUGGUGAGCCCUCCUGGUGGUCCGCAGCGUGGAGUGUUUUCUUCUCUGCAGCUCCAGACUGCAGCCCAGUCUAGAAAAAGUAGAAAGGAAAAGUCACCCGGAGGAUGCUGGGGACGAGCCAGCACGGGUUCUAUUUCUUCCCUAGGCUGUUGUUUUCCAGAGGGAACUGGCAGCCGCCCGCGCCCUCAGAUUGGUCUCCAGUCAAGGUGGAGGAACCGCGAGUGGGGUGGGUGUCCGGCCAAGGGCGCAGGGACUGCAUCCGCCGAACCGAGAGCUGCAGGGUGCUGCAGGCUUGCUUUGCAUAUGGGCAGGCAAGUUGAGGCUUGUUCACUUGCCACGGUCCUGUGGUCACAGCAGUCUUUCUAAAGCUCUCCCCAGCAGACGGGGCUUGUAUGGACUCUUGGAAGCCGGAGUGGAACUUCCGGAAAGAUUGACUCUAGGAGAGAAGCCUUCAGCAGAGCAGAGCAAAAGGACACACGUAAUCCAUUACAAGGAAAACCCUCAUGGCCCGGUCCCUGGGCUGAGAUGAGCUCAGUCUGGAGAGAAUUUUCAAGGAGAAUUGGAGAAGAACUGGAGAAGUCUUUCUGGGAAUCCUAGCAUGACCAUUUCAGUUUCUUCAAGUCCUUUGGGGAGGAAAGUUCUGCCACCGUGGAGGACAGCAUGGAGCUAGGAGGGUCUCCUUCAAUUGCUCAGGCUGGCCUUGAACUUGUGAUCCUCCGGCCUCAGUCUCUGGAGUACAGAUUACAGACGUGUGCUGCCACAGCUGGCAGACAACACUUUCUUAUCCUUCAUCGAAUUGGAAAGGGAGGGGAAGAGCUGUGAAGCCCAGGGAACACGCUUCUCCUCCAGUGCACCCCUGGGUGCUGAGAAGGCAGGAGGGUAGCACGCACUUUCGUGUGAGCUGCUUGCCGGGCAGUGGUAACAAGAGCUAAUAUGUACUGAACAUGUUCUCUGUGGGGGGACCUGCUGCGCACUUCGCACGGCUUUAUCUGUGUCCUCCCGGCAGCCCCGUGAAGCGCAGUCGUCUCCCCCUUAUCUACAGGCGAUGCCUUCCAAACCCCUCAGUGUGUACUGGAAACUGCCACCAGGGCUGAACCCAGUGGUCACCACACUUGCCCUGUGCGCCCACUGCACUUUUGAUAAAAUUUACUAAACACUUUAACUACGGUAAGAGACUGACAACAGCAGCUCCUAACAGGACAGAACUGUUAGAACAUUAUGCUGUAAUAAACAUUUUUGAAAACUUCCAAGUUCUUUAUUUUUGGCAUUGCCCAUUCAGUGUUUUCACACCGUCGUGGACCACGGGAGCUGAA